AAGGGCUCGCAGGCGGUUUCUUAAGUCUGAUGUGAAAGCCCCCGGCUCAACCGGGGAGGGUCAUUGGAAACUGGGGAACUUGAGUGCAGAAGAGGAGAGUGGAAUUCCACGUGUAGCGGUGAAAUGCGUAGAGAUGUGGAGGAACACCAGUGGCGAAGGCGACUCUCUGGUCUGUAACUGACGCUGAGGAGCGAAAGCGUGGGGAGCGAACAGGAUUAGAUACCCUGGUAGUCCACGCCGUAAACGAUGAGUGCUAAGUGUUAGGGGGUUUCCGCCCCUUAGUGCUGCAGCUAACGCAUUAAGCACUCCGCCUGGGGAGUACGGUCGCAAGACUGAAACUCAAAGGAAUUGACGGGGGCCCGCACAAGCGGUGGAGCAUGUGGUUUAAUUCGAAGCAACGCGAAGAACCUUACCAGGUCUUGACAUCCUCUGACAAUCCUAGAGAUAGGACGUCCCCUUCGGGGGCAGAGUGACAGGUGGUGCAUGGUUGUCGUCAGCUCGUGUCGUGAGAUGUUGGGUUAAGUCCCGCAACGAGCGCAACCCUUGAUCUUAGUUGCCAGCAUUCAGUUGGGCACUCUAAGGUGACUGCCGGUGACAAACCGGAGGAAGGUGGGGAUGACGUCAAAUCAUCAUGCCCCUUAUGACCUGGGCUACACACGUGCUACAAUGGACAGAACAAAGGGCAGCGAAACCGCGAGGUUAAGCCAAUCCCACAAAUCUGUUCUCAGUUCGGAUCGCAGUCUGCAACUCGACUGCGUGAAGCUGGAAUCGCUAGUAAUCGCGGAUCACAUGCCCGGGGGGAAAAACGUUCCCGGGGCCUUGUACACACCGCCCGUCACACCACGAAGAGUUUGUAACACCCGAAGUCGGUGAGGUAACCUUUUAGGAGCCAGCCGCCGAAGGUGGGACAGAUGAUUGGGGU
rnacentral:rRNA from 1 species